CUAUGUUUAACCCCGGGUGGUCGGCUGAUAUCUCGACAUGCCUUAUGCAUGAUAGUGCACACCUUGGUUUCAAACGAUUCUCUACAGAUAGAAUGGGGCUACAUGCUUGGGCCCCUGUUGAACACACACCCCCACCCUUUGUUUUUGAAACAAACAAACACACACACACACACACACACUCCUGCUGCUCCGUCACACGCACACUCAUGCACGCACCCUGAUUUUCCGUGUCUUUUUUCUUCGUGACAGACCGGGGUGAUGUCGGGAAAGGACAUUUUCCUAUCGUUAAAGGGUGAAAUACAUUUUUUAAACCAGUGAUUUAAUUCCAAAAUAUUUAGUACAUACGUUUUAAAGACGUGUUAGAAUUAAUGACCAAAUUGUACUACUAUUUAAACAAGAAUCAAUAGUAUUUUAUGUAAAAACAUUGGAGGUCUACAGUUGUACCGCACACUCACGCACGCACGCACCCGGAUUUUCUGUAUUUUUUUCUUCGUGACAGACGUGGUUGAUGGCUGGAAAGGACAUUUUCCCUUCGUUAAAGGGUGAGAUACUGUUUUAAAACCAUUGAUUUAAGACCCAAAAUAUAUAGUACUAACUUUUUAAAGACAUGUUCGAAUUAAUUACCAAAUUGUACUACUAUUUAAACAUGCAUCAUUAGUGUUUUUAUGUAAAAACAUUGGAGCCCUACAGUUGUACAUUAUUACAAACUUUAUAACAUACCAUUGUAGGAAAGACUAUAAAUUGCUUCUGAGAAUCUACGUCUAACAGUCGCUUCCCAAUCACCUAUGUCCAGUAGCCUUCAGAAAUAUCUAUUAGGAGGGAUUCCCUUAUUCACAUCUCUUUUUUAAUCUGUCCUGGCAGCUAAAUAUUCGGGGCUGUGGGUUUGCGCUAAAGCUGUGGUAACAGUGUUAAAGUAUAUGCUCCACGUUCUGUCCCUAACUAUGUGUGUGUUUCGAGACAUUUUUUUGUUUUGUUUUAGUUUUAUAAUGGUUACAGUCGGGGUUUGUACAGAGUUGGUUAAAUCCGCUCUUUUGCUCCCCGUUUACAUGGCUAAUAAUCUCCAAGCUGCUCUAAACGGUGUUGUUUGUGUGAAUAUUGUUUUCCAUAAAGUUAAUAACCCCCCCUAAAACGAAAUAUGAAAUGACCUCUUCCCCUAUCGUUAAAGCGUGCGAUACAUUUUUAAAACCAGUGAUUUAAUUCAAAAUAUUUAGUACCUACAUUUUAACACAUGUUAUAAUUCCAAAUUAUGUGUCCGCUGUGCGGGGAAAAUGAUAAUUACAAGCGGAACUACGUAGCUAAUACUGUUGUAACUGGGGAUCCUUAUUGUAGCAACACACUUUUGUAGGGAAGGCAAUCCUGCGCUGCGUUAGCUAAGUUUUCAUGUCAUCGGGUGUAGUUCAUAAAGGUUGAAGAGUGUAUGUUAGGAUGAAGUGUGAAUUCAUGCCAGGAAUAAUAAGUGUGAAGUUUGAUUUCCUCCCUUCUGUAAUAAGCAGCCAAUGAGUUCUCACUGAAGGGGAUACUUCUCACUGAAACUACUGAAUAAAGCCGCCAGUUAAAAUCAUGGAACGGUUGUGCUCGUGGUUACUGAAGGGAGCUACAAGACCAUUAUUAGUUUCGAAUUCACCAACUCAAAGACGCUUGCCCGCUCCAUCAUAACUCCGUAAGUUUUCCCUCCCUGUGUAGAUCAAACGUCCUGCCUGUAAAUCCUGGGUAUGCCCCACAUCAUUAAUGAAUAAGAUGUGUAGAAAACUGUUUAGCCAUAGUUAAAGGCCUUUCAUAAAGAGCCUGUCAUGAUUGCAUGUCCCUUAUGUUUAACACGUAUUGCUUGUUACAGAAUACUACUGUUGUACAUUUAAUAUCCCCUAGCAGAUUUCGUUGCCUUUGCACAAAUUCUGUCAUGUUACUGUGGUCUUUUUAAAAGUCAAUAAAAAUGUGUGUAAAGUGGCCAUGUUUGUUUCACUGUAUAUUUGUUUAAGCCCUCCUAGAAACACAUAAUUUCAUCCCACAGCAUUAAUUAAUAAGCUGUGUAGAAGCUGUUUAGCCAUAAGUAAAGGCCUUUCAUAAAGCGGCUGUCAUGAUAAACCUGAAUCUGAAAGUACCUUUAGGAUCUUUUCUUUGGGGUUCUAAUCUCCCCGUGUGUACAUGCACUGAAAAUCCUUAGGCUGGAGCCAUCGGGAAGCUCUGUGCCUGUACAUAUAAAGAGAACUCAAUAGGAAACUAGGCUGAGAAACAUUAUUUAGAUGGCUGUUUAAUUGUUGUUUAAAGCCUGCUGAAACUACUGAAUAAAGCCGCCAGUUAAAAUCAUGGAACGGUUGUGCUCGUGGUUACUGAAGGGAGCUACAAGACCAUUAUUCGUUUCGAAUUCACCAACUCAAAGACGCUUGCCCGCUCCAUCAUAACUCAGUAAGUUUUCCCUCCCUGUGUAGAUCAAACGUCCUGCCUGUAAAUCCUGGGUAUGCCCCACAUCAUUAAUGAAUAAGAUGUGUAGAAAACUGUUUAGCCAUAGUUAAAGGCCUUUCAUAAAGAGCCUGUCAUGAUUGCAUGUCCCUUAUGUUUAACACGUAUUGCUUGUUACAGAAUACUACUGUUGUACAUUUAAUAUCCCCUAGCAGAUUUCGUUGCCUUUGCACAAAUUCUGUCAUGUUACUGUGGUCUUUUUAAAAGUCAAUAAAAAUGUGUGUAAAGUGGC